CCUACGUGCGGCAGCAGUGAGGAAUAUUGGUCAAUGGCCGGAAGGCUGAACCAGCCAUGCCGCGUGAAGGUCAGUGCCCUAUGGGCGUUAAACUUCUUUUGUGCGGGAGCAAUAAUGGUCACGUGUGGCCAGACGAUAGUACCGUACGAAUAAGCAUCGGCUAACUCCGGUCCAGCAGCCGCGGUAAUACGGGGGAUGCAAGCGUUAUCCGGAUUUAUUGGGUUUAAAGGGUGCGUAGGCUGUGAGGUAAGUCAGCGGUGAAAUGCCCCCGCUCAACGGGGUGAAGUGCCAUUGAUACUGCCUUGCGGGAGUGCGGAUGCCGUGGGAGGAAUGUGUGGUGUAGCGGUGAAAUGCAUAGAUAUCACACAGAACACCGAUUGCGAAGGCAUCUCACGAAUCCGCGAUUGACGCUGAUGCACGAAAGCGUGGGUAUCAAACAGGAUUAGAUACCCUAGUAGUC
rnacentral:rRNA from 1 species